UUCGCAAUGCCCGAAAGGGUGACGAAGCGACGCCGCGUGUGGGAAGAAGGCCUUCGGGUUGUAAACCACUGUCGGGAGUUAAGAAAUGCAAAGAUAUUAAUAGUGUCUUUGUUUGACUAAGGCUCCGGAGGAAGCCACAGCUAACUCUGUGCCAGCAGCCGCGGUAAUACAGAGGCGGCAAGCGUUGUUCGGAAUUAUUGGGCGUAAAGAGCACGUAGGCGGCUAUGUAAGUCGGUUGUGAAAGCCUUCCGCUCAACGGAAGAACAGCAUCCGAUACUACAUGGCUUGAGUGCGGGAGGGGAGAGUGGAACUUCUGGUGGAGCGGUGAAAUGCGUAGAUAUCAGAAGGAACGCCGGCGGCGAAAGCGGCUCUCUGGCCCAUAACUGACGCUGAGUGUGCGAAAGCUAGGGGAGCAAACGGGAUUAGAUACCCCGGUAGUCCUAGCCGUAAACGAUGGGCACUAAGUAGAGGGGUUUU
rnacentral:rRNA from 1 species